AUGAACGCUGGCGGCGUGCUUCACACAUGCAAGUCGAACGAAGCACUUUAUUUGAUUUCCUUCGGGACUGAUUAUUUUGUGACUGAGUGGCGGACGGGUGAGUAACGCGUGGGUAACCUGCCUUGUACAGGGGGAUAACAGUUGGAAACGGCUGCUAAUACCGCAUAAGCGCACAGCAUCGCAUGAUGCAGUGUGAAAAACUCCGGUGGUAUAAGAUGGACCCGCGUUGGAUUAGCUAGUUGGUGAGGUAACGGCCCACCAAGGCGACGAUCCAUAGCCGAGCUGAGAGGGUGACCGGCCACAUUGGGAGUGAGACACGGCCCAAACUCCUACGGGAGGCAGCAGUGGGGAAUAUUGCACAAUGGGCGAAAGCCUGAUGCAGCGACGCCGCGUGAGCGAAGAAGUAUUUCGGUAUGUAAAGCUCUAUCAGCAGGGAAGAUAAUGACGGUACCUGACGAAGAAGCACCGGCUAAAUACGUG
rnacentral:rRNA from 1 species